CUCACAUUUCUUUAGACUGUAUCUGUUUAUCCGUAAAUGAUAGUUUCUGAUGCUCAUCAUUUAUGUUUUCUGCUUGUCCUCUACGCAGGUAUCCUGGGAUGCCAGAGGAGGACUUUUUAAAAGCUUGCCCUGUAUGUCGUAACGUUUGCAACUGCAUAGCAUGUUUGCGGUUAGAUGGAUUAGCGAAACAUUUUUUGAAUGUCGAGGUGAAGUUCAGCGAUGAAGAAAAACUCGAGUACUCUAAGCACAUUGUACGAGCACUUUUGCCUGCUCUGGAAUAAUUUAAUACCGAGCAAAUGAUUGAAAAGCAGAUUGAGUGCCAGAUUCAAGAUUCAGACGUUAAUAUAAAGAAAGCAGAAUACGAGAAGGACGAGUGCAUUUAUUGCAACUAUUGCAGUGCUUUUAUUGUUGAUUUUCACCGGAGUUGUUCAAGAUGUUCGUAUGAACUUUGCCUUACUUGUUGCAAAGAAUUAAGGAAUGGCAAACUGCAAGCAGAU